AUUGAACGCUGGCGGCAUGCCUUACACAUGCAAGUCGAACGGCAGCGGGGGAGAAGCUUGCUUUUCCUGCCGGCGAGUGGCGAACGGGUGAGUAAUACAUCGGAACGUGCCCUGUAGUGGGGGAUAACUAGUCGAAAGAUUAGCUAAUACCGCAUACGACCUGAGGGUGAAGGUGGGGGACCGCAAGGCCUCAUGCUAUAGGAGCGGCCGAUGUCUGAUUAGCUAGUUGGUGGGGUAAAGGCCUACCAAGGCGACGAUCAGUAGCUGGUCUGAGAGGACGAUCAGCCACACUGGGACUGAGACACGGCCCAGACUCCUACGGGAGGCAACAGUGGGGAAUUUUGGACAAUGGGCGAAAGCCUGAUCCAGCAAUGCCGCGUGUGUGAAGAAGGCCUUCGGGUUGUAAAGCACUUUUGUCCGGAAAGAAAUGGCUCUGGUUAAUACCUGGGGUCGAUGACGGUACCGGAAGAAUAAGGACCGGCUAACUACGUGCCAGCCGCCGCGGUAA
rnacentral:rRNA from 1 species